rnacentral:sRNA from 1 species
GAUGUGUGAUUACAGUCAUUCUUCAUACUUUGGAGGCUGCAUAUGCUGGCAAAGUUUGUCAUGACAGAGAACUGACAAGUGGAGCCACUGUGAAGUGGGUGAUUUCUACAUUUUUCUUUGGGUUCUCUUCCCUGACUUUACGUCUGCUGCCUUACAAACCCGAUCAGAAAAGAUUUGAGGAGAAAAGAAAAAAAUGAAGGAAAUAUUUAAGUCUUUUAACUUAUACAUUUCUUUUUCUUAAAGGCUAAGACUUAGUCUAGCUCAUACUGGUCAAAGGUAAUCGACAACGUGAAUUUUAGUAAUCGCAAUAUUGGUUUCCAUUAGUAUGCAUAAUAAACAGCUCAAUGAAUCAUACAUACGAAAUUAAAUUCAAUUAAUUUCUUUCUUUUGAUGAAAUUAUUUAUUUUUUUAAAAAUUAAAAUUAUGUACCCAGAGUUUAACUAAAUCACUUUUUCUCAUUCUUCUGAACAUAAAGAUUUUUUUUCAUAAUCAUUUUCUAUUACAUGUCAUAAUGAUUUUUUGAAAAUUGUUUCGUUUUACUAAAGCUAAGCACUCAGUGAGAUAGCUAAUAAGAUUUACACAUGGGCAUUGAAAAUAAAUCAUUUUAUUUAUAUGAUCAUAACUCAUGACCUUUCAUUGCCAAUAGCCCAACAGAUUCAAUGGGAUAAGUCAAUCAGCUAAACACAAAGAAUGACAUUUUUAACUUACCCUCAGCAUCGAAGGUCACUUCUCUACAUUUAUGUCAGAAUAAAUAUUGUGGUAAUAGAUGCAUUUUAGAUGGAUUGUGUCAUUGUUUAGAACUGUUUUGUUACAAGUAACAUAGAAAGUACAUGUUUAGAAAUACUUUCUUUGAUGGUACACAGUGUAGCAUUAUGCUUCUUUUCACUAGAAGCAGAAAUGAGAAACUGGUUUGAAUUUCAGGAUAAAAUUAUUUUUGUUCCCCUUUACAUAUUUACUAUGCUGUAUUUCUGAUUGCUAAAAAUGUCACUUGGUUUGGUCUGUUUUUUUAAAUGCUUUAUAAAUGUUAGUUUGUUUGCAAUAGUAUUUAUUAAGAAACAUAUAAUUAAACAACUCAACCUUACACGUGUAAUGUCAAAAGAAAAUGUAGCCUAGUCUCUUUUUCAUCAAUAAGAAACAAAGUAAAAUGUUCACCUUAAGUUUUCUAGGGGCCAUCUCCAUUUUUGUUUCUACUUUCUUGAGACACCUCAUCCUGAAAACUUUUCCAGGUAAUACAACUAAUCUUCAAACUAUAAAAAUUGUAUUCAACUUGUCUAUUCAUUUUUAAUACUGACGAUUACUUAUUAAUAAUUAAUGUAUUGAAAGUGCAAUUAAUUAAAAUUAAAAAUUUUGAACAUAAAUCCUUUUUGUGGUCAUAAACUAUAAGAGACCAGCUGUCUGAAUGAUGUGUGAUUGUAUUUGCUCAGAACAUAGUAGAUCUAUUUCUGUAGGAAUUCCUUUUGGUUGUUUAUGUAAACUACUUUUUAUUUGUCUAUUUAUAUAUUUACAAUCCAUUUGAUUGUUAGUAAUUGCGUGGACAAGAUGGAGUAAGUUGAAACAUUUCUACAAUGACACAUUUGCCAUGAAUUUAUUCAAAGGGUUGAAGAAGUCCUAUUAUCAAUCUGCCC